rnacentral:rRNA from 1 species
CAUGCAAGUCGAACGCGAAAGCGACUUCGGUCGCGAGUAGAGUGGCGAAAGGGCGAGUAAUACGUGGGUAACCUGCCCCCGAGAUGGGGACACCCGCCGAAAGGCGGGCUAAUACCGAAUACGAUGCGGUGGUCACAAGAUCGCCGCAUGAAAGGCGGGGACCGCUUCGGCGGCCUGUCGCUCGGGGAGGGGCUCACGGCCUAUCAGCUUGUUGGUGAGGUAAUGGCUCACCAAGGCGAUGACGGGUAGCCGACCUGAGAGGGUCACCGGCCGCACUGGGACUGGGACACUGCCCAGACUCCUACGGGAGGCAGCAGAGGAGAAUCAUUCACAAUGGGCGAAAGCCUGAUGAUGCAACGCCGCGUGCGGGAUGAAGGCCUUCGGGUUGUAAACCGCUGUCAGGAGCUAGGAAAGGUCCGGGUGCUAAUAUCACCCGGAAUUGACUGGGCUCCAGAGGAAGCUCCGGCUAACUACGUGCCAGCAGCCGCGGUAAUACGUAGGGAGCAAGCGUUACUCGGAAUUACUGGGCAUAAAGGGGGCGUAGGCGGAUAUGACAGUCCGAUGUGAAAGCCCUCGGCUCAACCGGGGAAUGCCAUCGGAUACUACAUAUCUUGAGUAUGGGAGGGGAGAGUGGAACUCUUGGUGGAGCGGUGAAAUGCGUAGAUAUCAAGAGGAACGCCGGUGGCGAAAGCGACUCUCUGGCCCAUCACUGACGCUGAGGCCCGAAAGCCAGGGUAGCGAACGGGAUUAGAUACCCCGGUAGUCCUGGCCCUAAACGAUGAGCACUAGGUAGAGGUGGCUCCGAUGUUAUCUCUGCUGUAGCUAAUGUGUUAAGUGCUCCGCCUGGGGAGUACGGUCGCAAGGCCGAAACUCAAAGGAAUUGACGGGGGCUCGCACAAGCGGUGGAGGAUGUGGCUCAAUUCGAGGCAACGCGAAGAACCUUACCGGGCCUUGACAUGUUGGUAGUACGAACCUGAAAGGGUAAGGACUCCUUUACGGGAGAGCCAACACAGGUGUUGCAUGGCUGUCGUCAGCUCGUGUCGUGAGAUGUCGGGUUAAGUCCCUUAACGAGCGAAACCCUUGUCGUUAGUUGCCAGCGGGUAAUGCCGGGGACUCUAACGAGACUGCCGGUGUCAAACCGGAGGAAGGUGGGGAUGACGUCAAGUCAUCAUGGCCCUUAUGGCCCGGGCGGCACACGUCCUACAAUGGCCGGUACAGAGGGAGGCAAGACCGUGAGGUGGAGCAAACCCCAAAAAGCCGGUCCCAGUUCGGAUCGCAGGCUGCAACCCGCCUGCGUGAAGUCGGAAUCGCUAGUAAUCGCGUAUCAGCCAUGACGCGGUGAAUAUGUUCCCGAGCCUUGUACA